rnacentral:lncRNA from 1 species
CUCGAUAAAGUGACCGCACAUGCGCGCUGUGGGCCUGGCCUGGCCCCUGUCCCGGGAUAGAAAGGGUGAAUCGCACCGCGGGGGUGCGGCUGCGUUGAGAUUGCUUCCGGAAUGAGGUACUGAGCUUGCGUGUCGCUCUUUCUGCCCCCUCCACUGUUUCUCUCUUUAGCCACAGUUGAGGCUCAGGACAGCAGGUGUUAUAUAUAUUCAUUCCCACAGUGCUGACUUCCCUGCCCUAGGCUGUCUUGCUAAGGUGCAGAAAUAAAAGGGACUUUGCUGUCCCUCCCUACCCAAUGGCCUUCUAGUGCUGGAAUCUUGGUGAAGGUUGCAGAGUGAGCUCAUGAAUUCCAAUGUCUCAGAAUCUUGCAGAUGUAGCUGGGAAAUGUCUUCAUGUCCAGGGACCUCAAGGGAUCAUAAUAGUUAAAGCUAUUAUGCUGAGGCAUGUGAAAAUGCACAUGCUAAGUUAGAGCGGUUAAAGGCUGUGCCUAGUUUUCACAUUCAUACAUAGUUGUACCUGUUUGAAGCCAGAAGUCCCCUCCCCUGCCUUAGGCUAGGACACAGGAUCAGAUCGGGACACUCCCCUUUUCUCCCAGGGCACUGGGCAGAUGUUAAGUAUCAUUAAUGCACUGGUAAAAAUCAGUAAUACGUGUUAACAAUAACUCCUUCAGGUUCUUGCUGGAGGCACACCUUCUCUUGUUCGUGCUCCUGGGAAUAAGCAAAGUCCUAGAUGUCUCUUGCUGCCCUGGCUGCCUUACCCAAAAGCACGGUGCCUUUAUCUCAUUACUCUCAUUUUGAACUCUCUCCAAAUGCCUUGAGGAGACUGCACUAACAUUGUAGCAACCAUUUUCACCGAAGCCAGAGCGGAAGCACCUCCCGUUUGUGACCCAGCAGAAGCUAUGGCUGGGGGCCUUUAUUUGCAUACGAGGCUUGCUGUGUUGUACAAACACCCCUCUUACAUAUAAACGUGUCGUUCAGUGCUCUUGGUGAUUUAUCUGGGAGAUAUACUCAUGUGCCGUGCCCGCUCGUUUUUGAAAUAUUAGGCUCAGCAAAAGGCUUCUCCUUGAGCGGUGCUUUAUUUUUUAUAAACAAUUUUUUAUUAGAUAUUUUCUUCAUUUACAUUUCAAAUGCUAUCGCCAAAGUCCACUAUGCCCUCCCCCAGCCCUGCGCCCCAACCCACCCACUCCUGCUUCCUGGCCCUGGCAUUCCCCUGUACUGGGGCAUAUGAGCUUCUCAAGAACAAGGGCCUCUACUCCCAUUGAUGGCCGACUAGGCUGUCCUCUGCUAUAUAUGCAGCUAGAGACACAGCUCUGGGGGGAGGGGUACUGGUUAGUUCAGAUUGUUGAUCCUCCUAUAGGGUUGCAGACCCCUUUAGCUCCUUGGGUACUUUCUCUAGCUCCUUUUGGGGGCUCUGUGUUCCAUCCAAUAGAUGACUGUGAGCAUCCACUUCUGUAUUUGCCAGGCACUUGCAUAGCUUCACAAGAGAGAGCUAUAUCAGGGUCCUGUCAGCAAAAUCUUUCUGGCAUAUGCAAUAGUGUCUGGGUUUGGAGGCUGAUUAUGGGAUGGAUCCCUGGGUGGGCAGUCUCUGGAUGGUCCAUCCUUUUGUCUCAGCUCUAAACUUUGUCUCUGUAACUCCUUCCAUAGGUAUUUUGUUCCCCCUUCUAAGAAGGAACAAAAUAUCCACACUUUGGUCUUCCUUCUUCUUGAGUUUCAUGUGUUUUGCAAAUUGGAUCUUGGGUAUCCUAAGUUUCUGGCCUAAUAUCCACUUAUCAGUGAGUGCAUAUCAUGUGGGUUCUUUUGUGAUUGGGUUACCUCACUAAGGAUGAUAUCCUCCAGAUGCAUCCAUUUGCCUAAGAUUUCAUGAAUUCAUUGUUUUUUAAUUGCUGAGUAGUACUCCAUUGUGUAAAUGUACCACAUUUUCUGUAUCCAUUCCUCUGUUGAGGGACAUCUGGAUUCUUUCCAGCUUAUGGCUAUUAUAAAUAAGGCUGCUGUGAACAUAGUGGAGGAUGUGUCCUUAUUACAAGUUGGAA